rnacentral:rRNA from 1 species
CCUACGGGCGGCAGCAGUGGGGAAUUUUGGACAAUGGGCGCAAGCCUGAUCCAGCUAUUCCGCGUGUGGGAUGAAGGCCCUCGGGUUGUAAACCACUUUUGUAGAGAACGAAAAGACACCUUCGAAUAAAGGGUGUUGCUGACGGUACUCUAAGAAUAAGCACCGGCUAAAUACGUGCCAGCAGCCGCGGUAAUACGUAGGGUGCGAGCUAUAAUCGGAAUUACUGGGUGGAAAGGGUGCGCAGGCGGUUGAGUAAGACCGAUGUGAAAUCCCCGGGCGUAACUCGGGAAUGGCAUAUGUGACUGCUCGACUAGAGUGUGACAGAGGGAGGUGGAAUUCCACGUGUAGCAGUGAAAUGCGUAGAUAUGUGGAGGAACACCGGUGGCGAAGGCAGCCUCCUGGGACAUAACUGACGCUCAGGCACGAAAGCGUGGGGAGCAAACAGGAUUAGAUACCCCAGUAGUC